AACCGCUUCAGGCAACAGUGUUCCUUAGCUCUCACAGCAAGCCCUUACUCCUAUUUCCAGGGAAACCUGGGCACUCAGCGUCCUGGUUGCCACAGCAACACUCAUGGGCUUGUUUGGCGUGUGGUCUCCACAAUCAAGGUGGGGCAUCUGGGUGCUCAGGAGCAAGUGAAUUCAACGGGCCAAACCAGCACAGUGGCUCCAGGUACUGCACACAGGAAGGUACUGGGUGGUUGAGGCUCAAAGAAGAGACGUGCUGAGGAGCCCAGGUACAAACUAUUUGAGGUCCUGUGCUUCUGCCCAAGAUGAGCUCCACUUCCAGCAAUCCUGAUGAUGGAGACACCACGGAGCAGUCUCAGCUGGGGUUGGACACAGUGAUCAAGAAGUUGGAGGACACCAUCCUGAGUCCCAUGGCCAGAAGGGAAGACCGGGCGCUAACUGUGCGAGGAGAAGGUCAACGGGCCUCACCCACUCCUGUGCCAGCCCGUAUCCGAGAGAUCGUGUCGAGCAGCCUGGGUGAGGAGCCACUCUCAGGGCUGCGGGAGCCACCAGCUACUACGUCCCAUGCACGGGAGGAGAGUGAACUCCUGCAAGAGGAGCUGACACGAUUGGAGGACCUGUUGGCCCAGGCGGAUGCUGAGCGGGAAGAGCUGGCCAGCAGGUGUCACAUGGUCAGCCAGAGGCUGCAGGCCCGCCUGGAUACCACUGAGGCCCGGCUUCGGAAGUCAGAGCUAGAACACAGCAUGGAUUUGGAGGAGGCUCUUAGCCGGCUGGAGGCCUCACAGCAGAGGAGCAUGGGCCUUUCCCAAGUAAACACCCUCCUUCGGCAACAGCUGGAGCACAUGCAGAAAGCCAACGACACGUUGGCCAGGGAGCUGACCAGAGCAACACACAGCUUGGUCCACCUGCAGCGCAAGUUGGAGCUUCAAGAGAGCCAAAGGUUGAGCCUAAGGCAACCUCGAGACAUCCUUCCCCUGUGGAGACAGGCCAAGGCUCUGCAGACACACCUGGCUGAGCUUCGGGCAUCCACUGAGAGGGGUCUCACAGAUGUUCAGGCGGACAUGACCCGGACGGCCCAGCGCUUGCAUAUGGCCUGCCUGAACCUCGACUCCCACCUGCGGCUGACAGCCAGCAGCAUGACCAGUGACCUGGAACAGCGGCUGAGGGAGCAGGCUAGGGAGAUGCUCCAGCUGCAGGGCCAAUGGGCCGCUGAGAAGGUGGCACUUCAAGCCAGACUCUCAGAGCAGACACUGCUGGUAGAGAAGCUCUCUGUGCAGAAGGAGCAAGGAGAGAGAGCCAUCCUGACACUCAAGUCGGACAUCCAGAGACUGAAAUCCCGGCGCAGUGGUGGCCAGCUGGCGGUGGAUGAACUGAGGGAUGAGGUUGAAUCCCUGCACCAUGUCCUGGCCAGCAUCAAGGAGGUGGCCCAGUCAGAUGCUAUGUGUCCAGAGUUGGCCUGGAGCAGCAGCAUUGAAGUCAGGGAAGCACAGGCCCGACUGCGCAGCCCACCUCGGUCUGUAUCACCACACCAGCGCAUGUCCCCAGCUCGGACCAGCUCUCCAACCAGCCUGCAUCCUGCGCUGCAGGCUGUGCAGGCAGCCAUUGAAAGGCGGCAGCAGCGGGAACAGGAGUUGCGUCUGAGGCUGGAGUCCUCCCAAGAAGAAGCAGCGGGGCUCCGGGAGCAGCUGUCUGGGUACCGGCAGGAACUGCGGACCUCACAGAGGCUUCUGCAGGACAGGGCACAAGAGCAUGAGGAUCUGCUGGGCCAGCUGGAGGCCCAGAGGCAGGAGGCACAGCUCUCCCAGGCGUCUGUCCAUCUCCUGGAAAGGGAGAAAGAAGCCCUGGAGACAACAAUGGAGGAGCUGAGGGCCAAGGCAGACAUUCGGGAGGCUGAGACCCAGAAGCUGGAGGUCACAAACGCAGAGCUGAGGAGAAGCCUUCUGCUGCGGGCGGAGCAGAAAGCCGAGCUGGCCCAGCAGAGUGAGCGCAGCCUGCGUGAGCUGGAGGCCAGCCAGGGCCGUGUGGAACAGCUGGAAGAAAAGGUUUCUGGGCUCAGGAAGGAGCUGGCCACAUCCCGGGAGGCACUAAGCUCAAUGCAGCUGCAGAGGGACAUCUUGGAGACGGAGAAGGAGAGCCUGCAUGGUGCCCUGGCCCAGGCUGAAUCUGGCAAUGCUGACUUGGAACUGCUGGUGACACGGCUGAAGGCAGAGGGAAUGGAGCAGCAGGACUCACUGGCCAAGAUGGCUGCCCUUCUGGAAGGGCUUUCCCAGGACAAAGGCACCCUAAACCAUCUGGCACUUCAGCUGGAGCAGGAACGGGACCAGCUUCGGGAGCAGCAGAAGAUGCUGCAGCAGGAGCAGGCGGGCAUGAGAGAGCAGCUGACACAGACGGGACAGCAGCUAGGGCUCAUUCGGGCUGAGCGGAGAAGUCUGAAGGAGACAUGUGGGCACCUGGAGCAGAAGCAGGACCAUCUAGAGAAGCAGGUGGUCCUGCUGGGACAGGAGAAUGCCCAGCUCCGGGAGCAGGUGGGCCAGGUCACAAACAAGAAACAGGCCCUAGAGAAGCAGCUGGCACAGAGCCUGCAGGACCAGGAGGCCCAGAUGGACAUUCUGCAAGAAGCCCUCCAUGAGAAGAACACACUGUCUGAGGAGCGGGCCCAACUACUGGCUAAGCAGGAAGCCUUGGAGAGACAUAGCGAGCUUGUGACUAAGGAGGCAGCUGAUCUGAGGGCUGAGAGGAACUCUCUGGAGAACAGCCUCUUUGAGGCCCAGCGACUGACAACGCAGUUGCAGACCCAGCAGGAACAGCUAGAAGGAAAGGCCGAGGCUGCUCAGCUCGCUCGCCGGGCCUUGCAAGUGGAAAUAGAGCGGCUGAAAAGUGACUGGGAAGUCCGAGAGACAAAGCUGCAGUUGCACCUGGGACAGCUGCAGCAGCAGGCUGCGCAGCAAGAGCAAGAGGCACAGCUGGCCUUGGAGCGCCAGGAGCUGGCGCACACAGAGGACCUGGCCCGGCUGCACAGGGAGAAGGACACCCUCAGUUUAUCACUGGCAGAGGAGAAAGAGGCGGCUGCCCGGUGGAUGGAACAACAGAAAGAGCUGUUGACAAGAAGUGCAGCCGACAGGGAGGCGCUGCAGGGGGAGAUUCAGAACCUGAAGCAGGAGCGAGACGAGAGCCUCCUUCAGCUGGAGCACGAGAUGCAGCAGGCCCUGUCUCUGAAGGAUGCAGAGAAGAGCCUGCUGAGCAAGGAGCUCUCUGGAGCUCACCGAGAGCUGGAACGGGCCCGGCAGGAGGCCCAGAACCAGCAAGUCCAAGCUGAGGUGAGCCCCACUGACAGAUUCUAGCCAAGGACCAGACAACUGCCUGGUUGUGGAUAGCCAAGCAAGUCUUGGCAGGGCCCCCGGAAUAAUCCCUUUCUGUCUGGCCCUGGAAGUAGAGUCCCCUCUUUGUGUCUUCAUGAGUGUUGUGUCCCCCUGGUGCUGGAAAAAGCUACGAUCUCAAUGGCAGAAAUAGCCAAGUGAUUAUGGCUGUGUGUGACCCAGUCCCUGCCAGCGGUGGCUACAGGCACUGGAUCUGGCACUCCCAGGAAUCAGAGCUGAUCAAGACUGACAAGCUGGGCCAUACACUGGGUAGCAACAGCUAGGGGAGGAUUAGACCCAGGCCUAUGUCCCUUCCUUCCGAUCCACACAGCACGAGCUUUGCCUGGCUGUGCUCAAGCUGACUCUAGUGAAGUCCAGUUGUGGGCAGACAUAGAUCUACUCCUGCCCACUGGUGGAGAUGGCCUGUAAGUGAGGAGCUGUGGCCAGCCUUUGACUCUUAGGCAGCUGCUCGGUUGCCCACGUGGACAGUGAGAGCAGACCACCCAGCUGGAAUGGGAGGCAGGUGUGUGGAGGGGACGAGGCCUUGGGAAGGGUGUCCUGGUGAUGCUGACGGAAGAAGGCAGGGGCUGAUCCCUGGUGCUGUGUGGUAGGAAAUGGUGUCGCAGUGAGGUGUGAUACCUCUCCCCCCCUCCAAAUAUACACACUUGUUGCAGGAUUUUCUCUGUCCAAUCACAUUAGGGCAGUGGCAGACCUAUGAUUGGACAGGAAAAGGGAGGCGGAGCUAGGAGUUUGGGGGACAGGGGGAGAUAGCGAGGUAGGAGGAGGGGAGAAGGAGAGAAGUCAACAUGGAGACAGAUGAACAGGAAGACGAUCCUGAUCCGGCACGGUUUUAGACAGCCACAAGUAGCUAAGAUGUUCACAAGGCUACCGUUACCACCAUGACCAAAGAGCUGAGAACCCUCCAGGUCCAGUUUGAAGAGGCCAUCUCUACCCACCAGAGAGAAGCUGACACUCUGAGGGAGAAGCUCCGUGAGAUAGCGGCCGAGCGAAGCAGCGUGAGGAGAGAGGCUGAGGAGCUGCAGGCACAGCUGAACGUGGCUCACGAAAGGCUGGCUGAACUGCGUCAGGAACUUCAGGCCAGUGAAGAGAGUCGUGAGGGGCUACAGAGGGAGGCCUUGGGGGCUCGCCGGGCACUGGAAGAUGAGGUUCAAGAGAAGGAUGUACUGCAACAUUCCAACACUGAGCUGCGGGCCUCCAUCCACAGGGCUGAGCAAGAGAAGGCCAGUUUGAAGAGGUCCAAGGAGGAGCAGGAGCAGAAGCUGCUGUUGCUUCAGGAGGCCCAAGUGGCAGCUCAGAAGGAAGCCUAUGAACUGAGGACCAGGCUGCAGGAGUUGGAACGGGCCCAGAGAGAUACCCGUCGGAAGCUCCAGGAGCGCCACAGACAGGUAAGGACACUGGAAGCUGAGAACCAGAGGAAGAGACAGGAGGUGAGUGACCUGCAAGCCCAGGUCUCAAGGGAUGCACAGCAUCGGCAGAAGAAUCUGCAGGAGUCACUAGAGCUGCAGAGGCAGGUAGCUGAGGCCCAGGCUGCCCAUGAUGGCGUCCAGAAGGAGGUAGGAAAGAUUUUUGUCCCUCUUAGGGGGAACACUGAGCUCUGGUCCAGCCUGGGACCAAGACAAGGUCCAUGGGAACACCUAUGGGGGAGGUAGGAGGCAGUGUGUGCAGAUGAUGGAAAGAGACCGGGAUGCCCAUUCUCUCUGUCUCCGUCCAGCAUCUCUGUGAUAGCCUAACCCUGUGCAAGAGGCAAGCGAAAGGGAUCUGAGGGCAAGGGGGUUGGUUACAGCCAUGACCUCUUAAUUGCCCCAGAUUUGUUUUAGAAAAGAGCCAGAUAGGACAGAGUUCUGGGCGGGAGCCAGGUAGAGAGGCUACGGAACACUGAAGUAAUGCCUAGGCCCAUGCCCGUCCCCAUCACACAUGCCCGACCCCUGCACCAAUGUCCCCAUGCCCUUGACUCAUGUAGCCCCUAUGCCAGAUCCUGAGCCACUAUACUCGGCCACAACCAGGACUGUAGUUCAGUGUAUUAAAGGUACUGCAUGCCACCAAGGAACAGAGGGGCCUUUCUGAGCUCAGCAGCCCCCCAGCUUUCAGACCCAAACUGCAUGCCUGGCUGUCUUGAACACCAGUCAUGCCUAGAAUGUGGGGGCUUAGCUCCCGAGCCCAUGUGACCCGGAAUGACCUCAGCCACACACCUCCUUCUGUGAAUAAGGUCAUUGUUAUGCUGCAGCCACCCAGAAAGGGGGAUGAGGCCAGGCCCCCUGCUCUGGCUCAGUGGGAGAGAGCAGGCUGCCUUUCCCUCUUUUCCAAAGCCAGUACAUUCCCUGUUCAUGCGUGCACAAGUAUGUAGGGAGCAGCCCAUAGCGAGAAAUAUAACAAAGCACACUUUGGCCAUGAGUAGGCUCUGCAGCCAGCAGAUGAAGAACAGUGGUUGAGCUGGGUCUCUAGCUGGAGAGGGCAGCCAGUCUUUGACCCUAACUGAGACUUUGCAGCCAACCAGCAGAGCCUUCUGCUGCUAAAGGACAUGCCACCAUGCUGAGGGAUGGUCCUCAUCUGACUCAGGUAUAUCCAACUGCUAAACACACUAGGAGGCAGGUCUAGGGUCCCUUCCAGCUAUAACCUGUCUUGGGAUGAUCCUCAGAAUCAUCAAAACAUAUACUGAACACGGUUUUCCCACUGGCUUGGCUAGACCUUUGGUCAGCCAGCCUAGAUAUCAGAAGCCUACAUCUGAGCCCCAACAUCCUUCCUCCAGGUUCUAGGGCUACGGCAGAAGUUGGCAGAAGUAGAGGCUUCAGGGGAGACCAGGGCAAAGCAGCUGGAGGGGCAUCUUUGUGAGAGCCAGAGGGCUGAGCAGACCCUGCAGGCUGAGCUGUGUAGAAUCACCAGGAAGCUACAGGAGGCCAGCAACCAGGCUGACAGCCUUCAGAGAAGCCUGGACAAUGCCUGUAGCCGAGUCCACGUCUUGGAACAGGAGCUGGCCAAGGCUGAGGGUGCUAGGUGUAAUGCAGAAGCUCAGCUGGGCCGGCUGUGGUCCACACUCUGCAGUGGCCUAGGCCAAAGUCGGAACCUCUUGGCCUCUCCAAAGAGGCCCCAUUCUCCCACAACAGGCAGCUCCCAGACUCGUCCUGGACGGCAAAGGACCAGUCCCCCUACUAGAUCCUACUCUCCUGCCCGAUGGCCCUCGCCUGUACCUGUGGAUCCUAAGUCGGAGGUCAUCGAUGUGGCCUUUGUAAGGGAUGCCCUGAGGGACCUGGUGCAAGGGCUUCUGGAGGCCCAGCAGGAACGGGACAAUUCUGGCAUUCAGGUGGCCAAUCUGAGCAGCCAGCUGAGCGAGGCAGAGAGGGAGCGCCUCCGCCUACAGAGCCGCGUAGAGCAGCUUCAGAGGGACCUAGCAGAUGCAGAGGAAGGCCAGCGCAGGGCAGAGAGUGCACUGCAGAGUGCCCAGGCAGCUCGGGCCCUGCAGAAGGAGGCGCUCCAGAGACUGGAGACAGAGCAUCUGGCAAGUGCACGCGCUGCAGGCCAGGAGAGGAGAAGGCUGCAGGAGCAAGUAGACACCCUGCGUCAGGCCCUGGAAGAGAGCAGCAGGCCCAGCCAGAGCCUUGCAGACAAGGGGAGGCUCCUGGAGCAGCCCCUGCAGCAGGUGCUUCCGCACAGCCGUAGGGAUCGGGCAGAGCGGCGCGCCCUGCGAGAGCAAACAACUUCACUGCGCACCGAGCGGGCCCGCCUACAGGGGGAGCUCGCGGCACUGCGCACGCGCCUCAUACAGACAGAGCAGGAGACCCUGAAGAAGGAGGAGGACAGGGCAAUGCUGGGGGCCAAGAAGGAGCUGCUGCUCCAGUCGUUGAGUCACCUACACCAGGAGGUGGAUGGGGCCUUACGGCAGAGCCAGCAGCUGCAGGUAGCUAGCCUGAAGAAACGGCUGGACAAGGAAGUGUGGCAGCGACAGCAACAGGCCCACAGUGACUAGACCUUUUGAGCCAAGCACUGACCUCUACUGCAGUACCUUCCCUUCAUCCCUGUGCUGGGUGGCAUGCACUGGGGGACAUGUUAAGGCUCUGUGCUAGUGGAGAAACUGGUGUUAUACACUAUAGAGGGGCCAUGAUCUACAAACAAAUGUUGUGAGAAGGUACGCAAAGAGGCAGCCACCAACCAAAGCACACUAUCCCUCCUCAACUCCUCCCAGACAGACUACAGAAGUCCUGCCGAUGAGGACCUCAGCUUCCAGCUGGGCUGGACCACAUUGCUCUUUGAUACUCCUUUCUGCUGCAGGGAGCGGGGAUGUGACCACCCCUCAGACCAUACUGGGCCUGGGGCUCCAUCUCUAAAUUGGACCUGCUACUUGGGCCAGGCACUGGUGGCCGGGCCCUGUCAAACCAGCUCCCUUGCCACGGGCUACAUUCCGUGCCCUCAGUUCUGUAAACACAGGGAAACACAUGGAAAACAUUUCCACCAGCAAGAGCCAAAAACACAAUGUCCUGCAAGGUCAGCCACCACACCCCACAUCCAGAGGCCACAGAAUCUUCCACAUCCAGGAACUGCAGUCCUGUCACGGUGGCAGGUGGCUGGAAAUGACUCAGAUGCAACCCCGUGACUCGCUGGCCACAGGGGUAUUGGAGAUCUGAAGCUGUUCCAGAAUCUCCCAUACUACACACCCCCCCCCCCAAAAAAAUGCUAGAAAAUGCCAGUGGGUAAUCCUGCUCUUGUUGCUAUGGAGACCAAGGCCAUCAUCUUACCAGACCCGUUCCUGCCUCACCUCUUGGCAUCUAUGUGCCUUCCUCUUAUUUAGCGCUGGUCAGACUGACCUGUCUUCCCUUCCAACAAGUCUCUUUGGCCUUGUAAACGGCACUUUCUAGUACCCCUAGACUACUGGGCAACCUGGUAAAUUCUUGCUUGCACCACAGGGUGCAGGUCAUCCCAUGGCUUGUGUUUCUGCCAGGACCUCCUGAAGCCUCUUCAAGGACUCUGGCAUGGGGCAGGAAAGGCAGAAAACUCCUGGAAUCCAUCCAAUCACAGGCAUGUAGCUAAGGCCAAGAUAUGUGACAGCCUGUCAGUUUACUUCAAGAUCACCAGGGACUUAAAAUCAGCCAUCCUGUCAGACCUCUGGUUGAACUUAAUCCGCAAUUGAGGUGGACAGACAGGCUUUAUUGCCGAUGACAGUGUGAAGAAGGGUCCUGAAGCCCAGGCUCUGAAAGGAAGAACACAGAGACCAUUGGUAAUGGCUUCCUUGGACAAAGGAGAAGUUGGCGGUGGCAUAGGUACCCUGAUAUAUGCCCACCUACAGUUUCUAGGUUCCAGCAAACACAGCCUGGUGGAGGAGAGAGGAUGGGCUGACCCAUGGAGGCCUGAGAAACUGGGACUUCGUAGUUAGCCCUCACCUUCCUCCUUCUCUGGUCUGCAGCUCCCCUGUGGAAGUGUUGCACCAUCCCCUCAAAAACCCGAGAGGGGAACAGAGCUGCAGAUUUCCACAGGAGGCCAAGGGAUUCCUCCGCUGCUCAUUCAGGAAGACCAUCUGCAGUGUUAAUGCCUUCCUCUUCCUGACCUUGCAAGGCUCACUGGUGUCCCAGGGACAUCAACACGACUGAAGUUGACAGCUGAGGAGGAAUCCUGUAAAUAUACCUGGAAGCAGGGACACACUUCAGCAGGGAGAGGUCUGGAUACUUCUUAGCACCAAAAUGAGACACUGUGACCCAACCAAGGUGCUCCCUGGUGAUCAACCAAGGUGCUUCCUGGUGAUCCAACCAAUGUGCUCCCUGGUGAUCCAACCAAUGUGCUCCCUGGUGAUCCAACCAAGGUGCUCCCUGGUGAUCCAACCAAUGUGCUCCCUGGUGAUCAACCAAGGUGCUUCCUGGUGAUCCAACCAAUGUGCUCCCUGGUGAUCCAACCAAUGUCCUCCCUGGUGAUCCAACCAAGGUGCUCCCUGGUGAUCCAACCAAGGUGCUUCCUGGUGAUCCAACCAAGGUGCUCCCUGGUGAUCCAACCAAGGUGCUCCCUGGUGGUCCAGAGCCGCCUUUACACUGGCUGCUCAGGAGAGCACUUCCAGUACAGUGAGGGCUUCUGAGAUUGCCACACUUUGAGUAUUUACAUCAAUGUAGGAGAUAUGUGUACUUAUUCAACAUAAAAGAAUGUAUUUGUGUUGAGAAGGGAUAUUUUCUAAAGAAUAUAUUGCAUUUCUCUAAA